rnacentral:rRNA from 1 species
GACGAACGCUGGCGGCGUGCUUAACACAUGCAAGUCGAACGGAAAGGCCCUGCUUUUGUGGGGGGCUCGAGUGGCGAACGGGUGAGUAACACGUGAGUAACCUGCCCUUGACUUUGGGAUAACUUCAGGAAACUGGGGCUAAUACCGGAUAGGAGCUCCUGCUGCAUGGUGGGGGUUGGAAAGUUUCGGCGGUUGGGGAUGGACGCGCGGCUUAUCAGCUUGUUGGUGGGGUAGUGGCUUACCAAGGCUUUGACGGGUAGCCGGCCUGAGAGGGUGACCGGCAACAUUGGGACUGAGAUACGGCCCAGACUCCUACGGGAGGCAGCAGUGGGGAAUAUUGCACAAUGGGCGGAAGCCUGAUGCAGCAACGCCGCGUGCGGGAUGACGGCCUUCGGGUUGUAAACCGCUUUCGCCUGUGACGAAGCGUGAGUGACGGUAAUGGGUAAAGAAGCACCGGCUAACUACGUG